GGCCACGUGGCCCAAUGGCAAGGCGCUUGACUACGAUAAGUAGGCACAUCAAGAGAUUGCAGGUUCGAUCCCUGCCGUGGUCA